GAGUCGGACCUGCCCAGUGAAUUAAGUUUUCAACGGCCGCGGUACUCUGACCGUGCAAAGGUAGCAUAAUCAUUUGCCCUAUAAUUGAGGGCUAGUAUGAAUGGUUUGACGUGAGCAAAACUGUCUCUGUAUAAAUUUCCAGAAUUUGAUUUUUAGGUGAAGAAACCUAAAUUCUAUUGAUAGACAAGAAGACCCUAUUGAGCUUUAAAAGAACAAGUAGAAAAUAAUAUAUAGACUUAAAUAUUAAUCUACUUUAAAUUUUGGUUGGGGCGACUAAGGAACAAAUAAAGCUUCUUUACUACUUUUAUACCUACAGGUUUUGAUCCAGAAGUUCUGAUUAAUGGAAUUAGUUACCAUAGGGAUAACAGCAUAAUUUUCUUUGAGAGUCCUUAUCGAAAAGAAAGUUUGUGACCUCGAUGUUGGACUAGAAUAUCCUGAAGAUGCAGCAGUCUUUAAGGGUUNGUC
rnacentral:rRNA from 1 species